ACCCAUUAGCUAUUAAUCAUAAUCUCAUAUUUUUCUUAUCUUCCACCAUAAGCCAUAAAGACCAAACUCUCAUCCUCACCAAGCUCUCAUUGCCGAACCCACCCCCUUCCUCCAUCAUCACCAUUAAUCAACCUCAAGCUAAGGGAUUUUGAAGGAAAAAUCAAUUAAAAAAAUCAAAGAUCCGGCAAGGAACGCAGCUAACGGACAAGGAGCACCUUAAACUAGACGGCAGUUAAUCGAUCGAGGUUUUAGGAGUAGCAAGCGUCUUUCCUUUCAGGUAAAAUGUUUUGAUGUGACGGACUUCUAUCCUUGUUCAGAAGUCCGUAUUUUGGAAGUAUGUAAAUAAGAAGACGUCGAUCGAUAGUGCUGCAGUAGAUGUCAAGUCCUAGUUAUGAAUAUGGCUUUACUGAACGGUUUUAAUAUUUUAUCCAACUCUGAUAUGUAAAUAAAGCUUUAAACUGCGCUUUUAACCGUUUACUAUAUUUUGCAAACCGGGCUAUGCUUGAUGUGUGACAUCGCAUGAUAAGACCCUGGCUUAUCGUACAUCGCUUCGGACGAUGUUACAAGUAUUGUAAAUAUUUCAAGUUUAUGAAAAUGUUUUAUGAA